GAGAAAGGGGAAGGGGGUUGGGAUCGGCGGCGUGCGUCGUCGGUACCGCCUGACGUGGAAGUCGCGGCCGUCGACGGCGAGCAGGUACGACACUUCGGUAGGGGCGGGACGAGCGGAAGCAGGCGGCGGCAGCGCCUGGUAGAGGAGGCAGGGGCUGGUGUGUAGGGGCGGGAGCAGACGACGGUAGUGGCUGGCCGAGGAGGCAGGGGUUGUUCAGUAGGGGCAGGACGAGCGGCAGAAGGCGGCUUCUUGGGCCGCCGACACAGCUAAGAGACGGAGGGGCUGGUGGAGAAGGCUAAAACGCUUCCAUUACGAACAACCUUAACCUCAGAAACAAUAGUAAGAACCAGUUCUAAAACGUGUAUCAACCUACGACCAGUAAAAUCCGCACCUGCGUGUACCGGUGGAUGGCGGGUAGCGGCCCGUGGCUCGAACAACAGGGCAGUACGUAGAGCUACCACACGGAGAGUUAAAUCGGAUCCUCUUUUAGUUUACCAAUUUAUACCCAAUAGUCGAGUUCACGCGUCUAAUCUUCAAGCCGGUACAAAAAAGGUAACAGCCCUACGACCAGUAAAAUCCGUACCUGCGUGUACCGGUGUACGGCGGGUAGCGGUCCUCGACUCGAACAGCAGGGCAGCACGUAGAGCUACCACACGAUGAGUUAAAUCGGAGCCUCUUUUAGUUUACCAAUUUAUACCCAAUACAGGAGAAUGUGACUUUCCAAUUAACAAAACGUGAUAAUGUAGACUGUUUCCUUCAGGACCCAAUUUCCAUUAAGGUACAGAUGACCACUGCGAGCACGACCUUUGGUCUCCACCGUAGAACCAGAACAGGUACGCUUGUGGUGUAGAGGCUGCCACGUCGGUACCGGGCUCCCGCGGCUCGACUAGAGGGUUCCGAGGAACGGCUGCGUACUGUUACGGGUGGAGGUACGACUAACUCGAAAAGGUGAACGGGUUGUACUAGUUAAUAGACAAUAUCUUAAAUACGAUAGUCAACAAACAUCAACACGAGACUUAUCUACAGGGGACGAACAUUAUCUAUUAGUGUGAAACGAUAUUAUGUAACUUCUCGGUCACGAAGAUACGUCGUUGGGGUGUGUUUAACAUUUGUUCUUAUACUUUCCGUGCACAUGGUUGGACCUUGGCGGGGUUAGUGGAGAGUCCACCGCGGUAUCCCACCGUGGUUACUUCCGAGCGAACGGUUCCCGACCACCAAUUUCAGAGAAAAUAACCACGCCAUGACCACUCGCGUUACGUACCACGUCAUCGGACCUCUCCGCAGGUUUCGCCGAAUCCUUCCCUGCGUGGACACUGGCGUGGACACUUCGCUGUUACUUGUACCGAUUACGGUUGUGAGGUACCGACGAUAACUCCUUCUCUCUCGUUUCUUGGUCCUCGAAGACCGCCUCCUUUCCUCCGUCCGCCGCCUCUCCCUCUCCCUCUAACUCCUCUCCUGCCGAUCCGAAAACCUCCUCCUCUCGUUGGCCUUGCUGAACCGAUUGGCCCGGUAUAUGCUCGAGAAGCGCAGGUACACACUCUUCUUGCCAGUCUGGGGAGGUGGCUACGGUCAGUAACGAGGCCGCCUGUGCGUAUUGAGGGCUGUUCGUAGCUGCAGACGGUAACCGCGCUCGUUCUUGGGGCUAGGAGGAGGCAGACGGUGAUGGCGCUCGUUCUUGGGGCUAGGAAGUGGAUGCCCAACUGCUAAACGAAGUCUAGUGCCUUCGAACCCAACUACCUCACGAACAGAAAUCAAAAACAAAACUGAAACACUUUGAACGAUGGAUACUACUUUGACACAUUAUAACUAUUUUGAUACAUACCUACUUUGAACGAUGAUAUCCAUUGUACACAACCUAUACACAACCUAUAUAAACGCAAGUACUGAUAACCAUUAUACACAACUUAUACAAUAUAACCAGU
rnacentral:rRNA from 1 species